CCUACGGGUGGCAGCAGUGGGGAAUAUUGCACAAUGGGGGAAACCCUGAUGCAGCGACGCCGCGUGAGUGAAGAAGUAAUUCGUUAUGUAAAGCUCUAUCAGCAGGGAAGAAAAUGACGGUACCUGAGUAAGAAGCCCCGGCUAACUACGGGCCAGCAGCCGCGGUAAUACGUAGGGGGCAAGCGUUAUCCGGAUUUACUGGGUGGAAAGGGAGCGUAGACGGCCGUGCAAGUCUGGAGUGAAAGGCGGGGGCUCAACCCCCGGACCGCUCUGGAAACUGUACGGCUGGAGUGCAGGAGAGGUAAGUGGAAUUCCUGGUGUAGCGGUGAAAUGCGUAGAUAUUAGGAGGAACACCAGUGGCGAAGGCGGCUUACUGGACUGUAACUGACGUUGAGGCUCGAAAGCGUGGGGAGCAAACAGGAUUAGAUACCCGUGUAGUC
rnacentral:rRNA from 1 species